rnacentral:rRNA from 1 species
CUUUAUUGGAGAGUUUGAUCCUGGCUCAGGAUGAACGCUGGCGGCGUGCCUAAUACAUGCAAGUCGAGCGAACCGAUUAAGAGCUUGCUCUUAAGAAGUUAGCGGCGGACGGGUGAGUAACACGUAGGUAACCUGCCUAUAAGACUGGGAUAACUCCGGGAAACCGGGGCUAAUACCGGAUAACAUUUUGCACCGCAUG